AAAUUACUGGAAGAGAUGGAUCCGAAAAGCUAGAUAUCAGAAUUCCUGCUGGAUUUUUGGAAGGAAUCACAAACAUAGUUCCAGCAUUGGUAGGUGUAAACAUCAAAGCUCUGUUGGAUGAUGCAACUUUAGAAGAGGGAGGGAAACAGUUGUUGGAUUUUCAGGAUACAAUGGGGGACAGAAUUCAAGUUUUUUUGGAGUAAGAGAUCUUUUGUUUUUCAACGAAAAGCAUUUUGAUAAAUAAAUCUUGAACAAUCAAAAAUAAUUUGGUGAUUAUAUGUAUAUCCCUACUUUAGCUUGUACGAGCUCCCAUAUAUUUGUUUCACCUAAAAAAAGAGAAAGGAGGAAAGGUGAUGUCUUAUCAGUGACGAAGCUGAUUCCUAUAUCUCAAGUGUCUUGAUUUGUUGACUCAAUGUGAUUAAAGACUGAUGUAUGGUGACAAACAAAUACGUUGGGUGUAGAUACAUAACAAAUGUACGACUAUUCUAUUAAAUUAAAAUAGUUUGAUCAAACUAGAGGUGAAGUAUUAAUUCACCUUGUCA